UACGGGGGGGGAGCAAGCGUUUGUUUCGGGAUUUACUGGGCGUAAAGAGCUCGUAGGCGGUCUGUUGCGUCGGCUGUGAAAAACCCCGGGGGCUCAACCCCCGGGCCCUGCAGCCCGAUACGGGCAGACUAGAGUUCGGCAGGGGAGACUGGAAUUCCUGGUGUAGCGGUGAAAUGCGCAGAUAUCAGGAGGAACACCGGUGGCGAAAGCGGCACCCUAGCGUUAGCCUGACGCUCAUGUGCGAAAGCGUGGGAGCGAACGGG
rnacentral:rRNA from 1 species